UUUUUCAAAGGAGUAAUGCCGACGAGGGGCCCCUUCUGGAGUCGACGCCAUCUGACGCCGCGCUCCACCACUACUCUCCGAAACAUUUUACAGUAGUGAAGUCCAAGUCUAAGUUUAAAGAAAUUAACUUUUGAAAACCGUGAAACAGUUUCAACGAAUUGCGAAAGUGACGAACGUUCUUAACUGAUGAGGAUAAUGUUUUGGACGAGACUUUCUGCAAUUAAUUACACACCAUUUUAGUGCCGAAAUAUAAUAUCUAGAUCGACUUGGAACCAGGUCCAUCCAGGUGUGUUUAGUGUGUUUAGUGUGUCGUAUUAAGGAAAGUAGUUUAAUUUCUCCGAUCGUGUGAUGGUUACUGACGGAUUGGAGAGGACGAGGACGAAUAUUUUAAGUUCUUGGACCCUGAACGUCGAAGACGAAGACCUUGGAUCCUGGACCCUAGACCCUAGAGCACCGAACCAGGGACCCUGGACAUCCUACGCUGGAUAGAUUAAAGGUUUCAGUGAACCCUAUUGAGGUCUAGCUGACGCCUCCAAGUAAGUCACUAAUCAAAAAAUUGUAUCAAAUAGACCUGAGUGGCAAGCUGUUAUAUCCAUUUUUCUUGCUGUAUUUUUAUAUUUUUGGGGGCUAUUUUGGUGCUUUUGCCAUUGAGAUAAAUUACAAACUGUAAUUUAGUGUAUUAAUGGCUCCAUUGUCGUUCCAUUAUUCAUUUAGCACUAGGUAUAGGGACAGACGAAUCCAGGUACGGCACCUGUGUGACGUCAAAUUGUGAUUUGGGCUCAAUGAUGAUUAAUUGGCGUUUUAGGUCCCCUACUCCGUAUUAUAUAAAGUGUUGUUAUUUUUUGAUAGGAUUGAAGAUGGAGAACACUAUAACAAUAAUAAAGGUUUGUCCACGCUGUCACUUGGGUGUUGUGUUCCACAUAUACAUCAUACACUAAACACUAUGUACAAAAUUAAUAUUUCAUAUAUGUAUAUUGUUUAUAUAUUUGUGCAUGUAUACUUGUCACUCGCUGGGUCUAUUUGAUUUUUUUCAGCUAGUGCAUUAUGUUAAUGUAGUGUAGAAGAAGGAUGCUACCGAGGUGUAGGUGCUGAGGUAUAGUGUAUUGUACCUUAACAUUAGUGUACGCGCUAAUCUUUUCGCCUGGCAUAACAGUGGCAGCUCGUGAUCGGUUCAAAGUUGGCGCCAAGUUAAACACUAAUUGUAAAUUAGUUUUGAGUUAAAAGCAAUGUUUUUCCUAAUUUUGAAAUUAUUGAAAUU